UUAGGUAACUGUGUUCUUAUUCGAUUUUCAGCUGAAAGGUUCGAUCUCAAUCACUUCAAAUGUGAUCAAAUUUCAGUAUGAACUUCCAGAAGGUACUAUAAGCAAUAUUUAAUAACACUCACUUUGAAUCAAAUAAGAAAUCUUCAAAAACAAAAGCCAAUAGUGGUGGAUAUUCAAACACACAUAAAAAUUCAGAUUUGGGAAGCUUACUCGAAGGUACUAUAUAAGCAAUAUUUUAUAGCACCCACAUCGAAUCAAACAAUAAAUCUUCAAAAUAAAAUUUCAAAUUUAGAAGCUUGAAGCUCAACAAUGGUGGGUCUUCAUACACACACAAAAAUCAUAAGGAAAGGAGGUAGAGCAAUAGCUUGGGUUGACCAUCUUAAUGAAGAUCGAUCUGGCAGAGAAGAAGUAGAUCCAUUCAAGUCCACUACCAGAUUUGGUACUUGUGGAUGAACUUACCAUGACUACACAGGAAGUGCACUGCAUGGUCCAGGCACCUCCUGGACCAGCUGCUUAAUCCUCCUAUCACGCACAUCUACAGAGAGGGGAACGAGGUGGCUGAUAGCUUAGCAAAAGCGGGGUGCAGCAUGGACUCUUCUACCACUACAACCAUUUUUGAACAACAACCAGAUUUUGUCAGCAUCUUUUUGCAAAUGGAUCAAGCAGGAGACACUCGCCUAAGGAAGACAACAGGGACACAACACCUACAAUGGGACAAACGACAACAAGUAGCAACUCCCUCUAGCGAUAAUGCACUGGAUAGCAGUGUUAGUUUUAGAGGCAGUAGUUUCUGUAUUGAUCAAACUAAUUUAAACUAUAACCUAGAUGCAACAACAUCGACCUCUCUGUAGCAACUUUUGUGAUUAAUGCAAUUAUCUU